GACGAACGCUGGCGGCGUGCCUAAUACAUGCAAGUCGAGCGAAGUUUUUCUGGUGCUUGCACUAGAAACACUUAGCGGCGAACGGGUGAGUAACACGUAAAGAACCUGCCUCAUAGACUGGGACAACUAUUGGAAACGAUAGCUAAUACCGGAUAACAGUAUUUCUCGCAUGAGAGAUAUUUAAAAGUUGGUUAUGCUAACACUAUGAGAUGGCUUUGCGGUGCAUUAGCUAGUUGGUGGGGUAAAGGCCCACCAAGGCGACGAUGCAUAGCCGACCUGAGAGGGUGAUCGGCCACACUGGGACUGAGACACGGCCCAGACUCCUACGGGAGGCAGCAAUAGGGAAUCUUCCGCAAUGGGCGAAAGCCUGACGGAGCAACGCCGCGUGAGUGAAGAAGGAUUUCGGUUCGUAAAGCUCUGUUGUUAGGGAAGAAUGGAUAUGUAGUAACUAUACAUGUAAGAGACGGUACCUAACCAGAAAGCCACGGCUAACUACGUG
rnacentral:rRNA from 1 species